UGGGGAAUCUUAGACAAUGGGGGAAACCCUGAUCUAGCGAUGCCGCGUGUGUGACGAAGGCCUUAGGGUCGUAAAGCACUUUCGCCAGAGAUGAUAAUGACAGUAUCUGGUAAAGAAACCCCGGCUAACUCCGUGCCAGCAGCCGCGGUAAUACGGAGGGGGUUAGCGUUGUUCGGAAUUACUGGGCGUAAAGCGUACGUAGGCGGAUUAGUAAGUUAGAGGUGAAAUCCCAGGGCUCAACCCUGGAACUGCCUUUAAUACUGCUAGUCUAGAGUUCGAGAGAGGUGAGUGGAAUUCCAAGUGUAGAGGUGAAAUUCGUAGAUAUUUGGAGGAACACCAGUGGCGAAGGC
rnacentral:rRNA from 1 species